CCCUUAACUAUUAAAAGUUUCAUUUUGGUCCCUUAACUUAUUUUUGGUUUCGUUUUGGUCCCUUAACUCUUCCUCUGUCAACCACUUUGGUCCUUUAUGUUAGGAUGAAUGUAUUAGAGUUAAGGACCAAAACGAAAUCAAAAAAUAAGUUAAGUGACCAAAACAAAACCAAAAAAUAAGUUAAGGGACCAAAACAAAACUUUUAAUAGUUAAGGGA
rnacentral:pre_miRNA from 1 species